UACGUAGGGCGCAAGCGUUAUCCGGAAUUAUUGGGCGUAAAGAGCUCGUAGGCGGUGUGUCGCGUCGGCCGUGAAAACCUGCAGCUUAACUGUGGGCGUGCGGUCGAUACGGGCAUCACUGGAGUUCGGCAGGGGAGACUGGAAUUCCUGGUGUAGCGGUGAAAUGCGCAGAUAUCAGGAGGAACACCGGUGGCGAAGGCGGGUCUCUGGGCCGAUACUGACGCUGAGGAGCGAAAGCGUGGGGAGCAAACAGG
rnacentral:rRNA from 1 species